GGGUUGUGAGGUUAAGCGACUAAGCGUACACGGUGGAUGCCCUGGCAGUCAGAGGCGAUGAAGGGCGUACUAAUCUGCGAUAAGCGCCGGUAAGGUGAUAUGAACCGUUAUAACCGGCGAUACCCGAAUGGGGAAACCCAGUGUGAUUCGUCACACUAUCAUUAACUGAAUCCAUAGGUUAAUGAGGCGAACCGGGGGAACUGAAACAUCUAAGUACCCCGAGGAAAAGAAAUCAACCGAGAUUCCCCCAGUAGCGGCGAGCGAACGGGGAGGAGCCCAGAGCCUGAAUCAGCAUGUGUGUUAGUGGAAGCGUCUGGAAAGGCGCGCGAUACAGGGUGACAGCCCCGUACACAAAAGCGCAUGUGCUGUGAGCUCGAUGAGUAGGGCGGGACACGUGGUAUCCUGUCUGAAUAUGGGGGGACCAUCCUCCAAGGCUAAAUACUCCUGACUGACCGAUAGUGAACCAGUACCGUGAGGGAAAGGCGAAAAGAACCCCGGCGAGGGGAGUGAAAAAGAACCUGAAACCGUGUACGUACAAGCAGUGGGAGCCCCACCACCAAAGCAUUUGCUGUACCGCGUUGACGGAGCGAAGCGACGUCAAACCGAUAAAACAGCAGUGUAAAGUGAGCCGCAGGGCGCUUUGCGCGACAGCGCAAAGGCAGGCGGUUUCGCGUAGCGAAAGCGAAUGCUUUGGGGUGGGGUGACUGCGUACCUUUUGUAUAAUGGGUCAGCGACUUAUAUUCUGUAGCAAGGUUAACCGAAUAGGGGAGCCGGAGGGAAACCGAGUCUUAAUUGGGCGUUAAGUUGCAGGGUAUAGACCCGAAACCCGGUGAUCUAGCCAUGGGCAGGUUGAAGGUUGGGUAACACUAACUGGAGGACCGAACCGACUAAUGUUGAAAAAUUAGCGGAUGACCUGUGGCUGGGGGUGAAAGGCCAAUCAAACCGGGAGAUAGCUGGUUCUCCCCGAAAGCUAUUUAGGUAGCGCCUCGUGAAUUCAUCUCCGGGGGUAGAGCACUGUUUCGGCUAGGGGGCCAUCCCGGCUUACCAACCCGAUGCAAACUGCGAAUACCGGAGAAUGUUAUCACGGGAGACACACGGCGGGUGCUAACGUCCGUCGUGAAGAGGGAAACAACCCAGACCGCCAGCUAAGGUCCCAAAGUCAUGGUUAAGUGGGAAACGAUGUGGGAAGGCCCAGACAGCCAGGAUGUUGGCUUAGAAGCAGCCAUCAUUUAAAGAAAGCGUAAUAGCUCACUGGUCGAGUCGGCCUGCGCGGAAGAUGUAACGGGGCUAAACCAUGCACCGAAGCUGCGGCAGCGACACUGUGUGUUGUUGGGUAGGGGAGCGUUCUGUAAGCCUGCGAAGGUGUGUCGUGAGGCAUGCUGGAGGUAUCAGAAGUGCGAAUGCUGACAUAAGUAACGAUAAAGCGGGUGAAAAGCCCGCUCGCCGGAAGACCAAGGGUUCCUGUCCAACGUUAAUCGGGGCAGGGUGAGUCGACCCCUAAGGCGAGGCCGAAAGGCGUAGUCGAUGGGAAACGGGUUAAUAUUCCCGUACUUGGUGUUACUGCGAAGGGGGGACGGAGAAGGCUAUGUUGGCCGGGCGACGGUUGUCCCGGUUUAAGCGUGUAGGUGUGUGUUCCAGGUAAAUCCGGUUCACUUUAACACUGAGGCGUGACGACGAGGCACUACGGUGCUGAAGCAACAAAUGCCCUGCUUCCAGGAAAAGCCUCUAAGCAUCAGGUAACAUCAAAUCGUACCCCAAACCGACACAGGUGGUCAGGUAGAGAAUACCAAGGCGCUUGAGAGAACUCGGGUGAAGGAACUAGGCAAAAUGGUGCCGUAACUUCGGGAGAAGGCACGCUGACACGUAGGUGAAGUGAUUUACUCAUGGAGCUGAAGUCAGUCGAAGAUACCAGCUGGCUGCAACUGUUUAUUAAAAACACAGCACUGUGCAAACACGAAAGUGGACGUAUACGGUGUGACGCCUGCCCGGUGCCGGAAGGUUAAUUGAUGGGGUCAGCGCAAGCGAAGCUCCUGAUCGAAGCCCCGGUAAACGGCGGCCGUAACUAUAACGGUCCUAAGGUAGCGAAAUUCCUUGUCGGGUAAGUUCCGACCUGCACGAAUGGCGUAAUGAUGGCCAGGCUGUCUCCACCCGAGACUCAGUGAAAUUGAACUCGCUGUGAAGAUGCAGUGUACCCGCGGCAAGACGGAAAGACCCCGUGAACCUUUACUAUAGCUUGACACUGAACAUUGAGCCUUGAUGUGUAGGAUAGGUGGGAGGCUUUGAAGUGUGGACGCCAGUCUGCAUGGAGCCGACCUUGAAAUACCACCCUUUAAUGUUUGAUGUUCUAACGUGGACCCGUUACCCGGGUUGCGGACAGUGUCUGGUGGGUAGUUUGACUGGGGCGGUCUCCUCCUAAAGAGUAACGGAGGAGCACGAAGGUUGGCUAAUCCUGGUCGGACAUCAGGAGGUUAGUGCAAUGGCAUAAGCCAGCUUGACUGCGAGCGUGACGGCGCGAGCAGGUGCGAAAGCAGGUCAUAGUGAUCCGGUGGUUCUGAAUGGAAGGGCCAUCGCUCAACGGAUAAAAGGUACUCCGGGGAUAACAGGCUGAUACCGCCCAAGAGUUCAUAUCGACGGCGGUGUUUGGCACCUCGAUGUCGGCUCAUCACAUCCUGGGGCUGAAGUAGGUCCCAAGGGUAUGGCUGUUCGCCAUUUAAAGUGGUACGCGAGCUGGGUUUAGAACGUCGUGAGACAGUUCGGUCCCUAUCUGCCGUGGGCGCUGGAGAACUGAGGGGGGCUGCUCCUAGUACGAGAGGACCGGAGUGGACGCAUCACUGGUGUUCGGGUUGUCAUGCCAAUGGCACUGCCCGGUAGCUAAAUGCGGAAGAGAUAAGUGCUGAAAGCAUCUAAGCACGAAACUUGCCCCGAGAUGAGUUCUCCCUGAGACUUAAAGUCUCCUGAAGGAACGUUGAAGACGACGACGUUGAUAGGCCGGGUGUGUAAGCGCAGCGAUGCGUUGAGCUAACCGGUACUAAUGAACCGUGAGGCUUAACCUUACAACGCCGAAG
rnacentral:rRNA from 1 species